rnacentral:pre_miRNA from 1 species
UUAAAUCCAAUUUGUAUGUAGUAGGAGCGUUCGCCUACGUUUGCCGCUAGAAGCACUGUUUCAACUGCAUACAAAUCUGCGUUA